AGUGGGGAAUAUUGCACAAUGGGGGAAACCCUGAUGCAGCGACGCCGCGUGGAGGAAGAAGGUCUUCGGAUUGUAAACUCCUGUUGUUGGGGAAGAUAAUGACGGUACCCAACAAGGAAGUGACGGCUAACUACGUGCCAGCAGCCGCGGUAAAACGUAGGUCACAAGCGUUGUCCGGAAUUACUGGGUGUAAAGGGAGCGCAGGCGGGAAGACAAGUUGGAAGUGAAAACCAUGGGCUCAACCCAUGAAUUGCUUUCAAAACUGUUUUUCUUGAGUAGUGCAGAGGUAGAUGGAAUUCCCGGUGUAGCGGUGGAAUGCGUAGAUAUCGGGAGGAACACCAGUGGCGAAGGCGGUCUACUGGGCACCAACUGACGCUGAGGCUCGAAAGCAUGGGUAGCAAACAGGAUUAGAUACCCUGGUAGUCCAUGCCGUAAACGAUGAUUACUAGGUGUUGGAGGAUUGACCCCUUCAGUGCCGCAGUUAACACAAUAAGUAAUCCACCUGGGGAGUACGACCGCAAGGUUGAAACUCAAAGGAAUUGACGGGGGCCCGCACAAGCAGUGGAGUAUGUGGUUUAAUUCGAAGCAACGCGAAGAACCUUACCAGGUCUUGACAUCCGACUAACGAGAUAGAGAUAUGUCAGGUGCCCUUCGGGGAAAGUCGAGACAGGUGGUGCAUGGUUGUCGUCAGCUCGUGUCGUGAGAUGUUGGGUUAAGUCCCGCAACGAGCGCAACCCUUAUCAUUAGUUGCUACGCAAGAGCACUCUAAUGAGACUGCCGUUGACAAAACGGAGGAAGGUGGGGAUGACGUCAAAUCAUCAUGCCCUUUAUGACUUGGGCUACACACGUACUACAAUGGCGUUAAACAAAGAGAAGCAAGACCGCGAGGUGGAGCAAAACUCAAAAACAACGUCUCAGUUCAGAUUGCAGGCUGCAACUCGCCUGCAUGAAGUCGGAAUUGCUAGUAAUCGCGGAUCAGCAUGCCGCGGUGAAUACGUUCCCGGGCCUUGUACACACCGCCCGUCACACCAUGAGAGCCGGGGGGACCCGAAGUCGGUAGUCUAACCGCAAGGAGGACGCCGCCGAAGGUAAAACUGGUGAUUGGGGUGAAGUCGUAACAAGGUAGCCGUAUCGGAAGGUGCGGCUG
rnacentral:rRNA from 1 species